rnacentral:lncRNA from 1 species
GGAACUUUGGGCAAGCCCUCACCCCACCCCUUUCCUGCAUCUGCUCUCACGGGCUGAGUUCUGUUCUCCCAGAUUCACAGGUUGAAGUCCUGAGCCCAGAGCCUCAGAAUGGGAGCUAUCUGGAGAUAAAGCUUCUACAUCAAAGUGGGGUCACUGGGGAGCCACCCUCGUCCAGGAUGCCUAGAGUCUUUAUAAGAAGAAGGAAUUUGGUCACAUAAGAGACACCAGGAGUGUGUGAGCAGAGCGUGUGACCCUGUGAACAGGUGGCAGGAAGGCGGCCAUUGAUGAGCCAAGGGGAGAGGCCUCGGUGUGAGCCACCCCUGAAGACAGAAAGCUUUUCCUCUGAGAUGAGGAGUAGGAUGAGGAUGGCCACUUGUUAUCCCCAGAGCCCUGGGAGUCCCUGAUGGAGUCAUUAGGCAAGGGGAAAAGUCAAAGGCACGGUGCUGGGGCUGGGGCUCAGCAGUAGCGCACUUGCCUGGCAUGCGUGAGGCACUGUGUUGGAUUCUCAGUACCAUAUAAAAAUAAAUAAAUCAAAUAAAGGUCUAUCAAGAACUAAAAAAAAAUUUAAAAAACCAAAAGCACAUAAAUUGGAUAGAACAAAUCAAAUGGUUUUUAAGAUGAUAGGAUCACAUGUCAUCUAAAACUCUAAAGACUACACACAAACACAUGGUUGGUUUUAUGAGAACUAAUAAAGGAAGUUGGCAAAGUAGCAGGAUUCCAAGUGAACACACCAAAAUUGUUUUAGUUAGCUUUUCCUUACUGUGACCAAAAUACCUGACAAGACCGAUUUAGAGGAGGAAAAGUUUAUUUUGGCUGAGGAUUUCAGAGGUUCAGUCCAGGUUGGCCGACUGCAUAGCUCUGGGUUGGGGGCGAGGCAGAACAUCAUGGCAGAAGGGUGUGGAGGUGGAGAGCAGCUGAGGCAUGGCCAACAAUAAGCAAAGAGAACUACGAUAACCAGGGACAAAACAUAAAGCUGAAAGUCAUGACCCCAAGUCCUACUUCCUCCAGCCACACCACACCUGCCUUCAGUUACCACCCAGUUAAUCCACUUCAGUGUAUUAAUCCACUGAUUAGGUUACAACUCUCAUAAUCUAAUCACCUUACCCCUACAUUAUCUCACAUGUGAGCUUUUGGAGGAUGAAACAUAUCCAAACCAUAAUAAAUUCACUGCAUUUCUAUGUACUAAUAAUUAAUCUGAAAAGAAAACUAUAAAAAUAAUACCAUUUGCAAUAACAUCAACAAAGAAUAAAAUAGCACUUUCAAAUUAACCAAGGAAGUGGAAGAUGAUAGUGUAAUGAUAAUGAUAAAGCAUUGUUGAAAGAAAUUAAAGAAGAUAUAAAUUUGUGGAAGCAUCCCUUUUCAUGAAUUGGAAGACUUAAUAUUAUGAUGUCAAUACCACCCCAAAUCUACAAUUCGAUCCCUAAAAAUAUACCAAUGACAGUUUAAAAAAAUUUUUUAGAUGUUGAUGGAACUUUAUUUUAUUCAUUUAUUUAUAUGUGGUGCUGAACCCAGUGCCUCACACAUGCUAGGCAAGUGUUCUACCACUGAGCCACAACCCCAGCCCACCAAUGACAAUUUUUAAAAAUAUUUUUUAAGUUGUCAAUGGACAUUUAUUUAUUUAUAUGUGAUGCUGAGGAAAAAAACCCAAAAAAACAACCCAGUGCCUCACACAUGCUAGGUAAUCACUCUACCACUGAGCUACAACCCCAGCACCCAAUGACAAUUUUUGCAGAAAAAGAAAAACCCAUCCUAAAAUUGUUAUGGAAUAUCAAGGGAAUCCAAGUAGCCAAUCCAAUUAUGAAAACGAGAAACAAUUAGAAGGACUCAAACUCCCUGAUUUCAAAACCUACUACAGAGCUACCACAAGCAAAACAGUGUGGUGUUGACAGAAUGCCAAACAGAGACCAAUGGGACAGAAUAGAAUGCCCAGAAGUAAGCCCUUGUGUGUUUGAUCAAAUGACUCUGGAUAAGGGACACAAGACCUUUCAGUGAGGAAAAGAACAGUCUUUUCAGCAAACCAUAUUGGGGAAAACUGGACAUACACAUGCAAAAGAAUGAAGUUGAACUCUGACCUAAUACACACCUACAAAAGAAAACAUAGGGCAACAGAUUCUGGACACUGGAGUUGACAGUAAUUUUUUUUUAUAAGAUGCCGAAAGCACAGGCAACUAGGAAAAAAAUAGAUAUAUUGGACUUCAUGAAAACUGAAGUUUUGUUCAUAAAAAGAUAACAUCAAUACAGUAAAAAGACAGUCCAUUGGAUGUGAAAAAUAACGGCCAACCACAUAUUUUUUGCACCACCACACCAGGUGUGAAGCAUAAUUCUUAGCAGUAGGCUGUGUAUAAAACAGGAUGCUGACCUUAAAAAUCCCCAAUGUUUCAUAAUGGUCAUUAAGUAUGCCUGCUGUUUUCUUAAGCAAGGCAUUAUCUUUUGAUGUUUUCCAUAAUAUAUUAUUUAAAAACCCCUCUACAACAAAUACAGACUUCUUUUAUGAGGGGUAGAACCAUAGAGACCCGAGGAAAAUUAUAACAGUGUAUCGGAAGUAACCUAUAAAAUUACUAAAAUUUGAGUAUGCACCCUAUCUCCCCUCUUUUGCCCUGGGGAAGAGAUUUUGUUUCAUUUGCCUUUGAUGCUCCCAGCA